GGGCAGGAGCGGCGCUGCUUGAGCCUGGCAUCGUGAGAGUCCUUUGAGGCCCUGGCGAGGUUCCGCAUGGAGGCUUCCCGGGGCGGCACCACCGGGCACGGGUCGUGCAUGUCCGGCUUGCGGAAGAAGGCUUCCGAUUUCACGUACAGCGGGAGGUUGCAGUAGUCGCCUGUGGGGGAAAGCAGAGCCAGGGGAGGUGUCGGCGGCGCCGGAGACGGCUUGGGAGCCGGUUGCCGGAGGCACGGGCAGGUCCCCGUGCUGGGGGGCAGAGCCGGCGCGUGUUUUACCGCUGUUCUUCGCUGCCCUCCUCCCUACAGACCGAAGGGAGCUGCGCUUGCAGCCCCGGGACCUCGCUCUGCCUUUGCUGCCUCCCUGGCAGGUCGAGCGAGGCGCGCUCCCUGCUCUUUGAUGCUCGUCUCUCUGAAGAUGAACGAGCCCUGACGCUAGGGAAGGGAAAUACCCAGUAUCCGGCGAACGCGGCCACUCUGCCUGCCUCGUAACGGAGACUAUCUGCAAGGAGAUCACGAACCACGAGAAGAGUUAUUUCCUGGCUUCAUUACAGCCCCUCCGGGGGCAUCCCUAUGUGUUUUUAGUGGUGGCAGCUGUCUGAGACCGAUCAGAGCCUGAAAUACUGCUCCUUGGCAGUGGCAGCGGCUUGGUGUCCUCGUCUGCAGUAAAGGUACCGUGCACGGCCGGUCCGGUUCUCCGCUUGGCGCUUGGUGACAGAUGCGCCUUCCGGGACACAGCGGGGAGGGAGAGCUGGAAGCAAGAGCAGCCUGGUGCCCCGGGGGGCAGAGACCCCCACAGCCAGACAGGUGCUUUCCAAGGCCCUGCAACGGUGCUGAUCUUGCCGGAUGCUGUCGCUAACUCAGCAUCUCCACGGCAGAGCCCUGGGUGGCACCAGCCUGCGUGCUCUGCGCACUCCCACCUUAUCGUCCUUAAGGCUAUCAAACUUUUCUAACCAGGCUGAAAGGCAGCGAGAGGUUCAAGCAAGCACCGAGCAUGGGGGUGCCUGAAGGUUUUUAGUUAACACAGCGUUAUGGUGGUGGCUACCCUUAAACCACUGCUGUCCACAGGAGGAACAGAGGAGUUUCCGCUCCCACUGUGCCAAGCAACACGGAUUCCCCUUGGGAAACAAAUUUCUCUCUUUCUGUAGGACGGAGGAAAAGUAAGGGGUGCUUGGCAUGCUGCCUCCCCCUUGCUAUCCCAGCUAGGGUGGGGGUUAGACCUUGCCUUCCCCUCCCAGCUGCGGGGCUGGACGCCCCCCGUGCCAGGCCUUGCAGCCACACUUACUCUUGUUGGCUCUGUGUGGGAUGGGCACUGCCACGUUCUUGCCUCGGUCGCUGUCCUGGGGCUUGGGCGGGGAGGCUGUGAAGCGGCAGAUGCCGGGCUCGGAGGGGGUGCUCAUGGACGUCAUGCUGUCGGCGUUCUCGUUCGUUCCGGUGGUCAUCUGGUCCGAGGAGCUGUCGGAGAUGAAGCACUCGGUGAUCUCGAACUUGGCGUGCUGAAGCUGCUCCUCCAGCUUGGCGUGUUCAUAGGCUCGGGCCAGCUCCUCGUAGGUGGACGACGCGCUUUCUGUCGACACCAUGCUGUUGCGUCCUUUGUCUGUGGAAGAAGGACAGGUCCAAACCUCAGCAUUUUCCCUGACAUGAAAAUGCUGCUUUUCACCUCAUUCUAGUGGUGAGAAUGUCUAGGCUGUCUCAGCUGGCAUGCGCACAGUGCUCUGCCCCAAGGCUGGGCACAGACCUCCUGCUUGGACCUCACAAGACCCCCCUGGGACACACAGGAAUUCACAGCAAGAUCCCUGCAUUUAGCACGCUUUGCAGAGAUGAUAAAAGCCUAUGGCCCAGGUAAAUCAGCGCUGCCAACAGUAGCAAUAGGCCUUAAGCUUUAAAAGCAGUCCUUAGCUGUAGCAGGCCUCAGGCCUUGCCUGGUCUUGAACUCAUUUUAACUUGAUUUCAGCUGUAAUUACAAAGAUGAUGCAAAAACCCUUUGCUUCACCUGCAGCUUAUUCCAGAUCAGGUGGCUGCUGUUUGUUCUGUGUGUGCUGUAACAGCAAAAUCUCCCAAAGGUCAGCUCCUGGGGCUUUGGGCUUGUUUUAGCCAUAUUACUACUUGCUCGAGGUCAGUUUUUGCUUAGGCUUGUACAACAGGGGGUUUAUGCUCCCCAAAAGGAAUCAUACAAUACGCAGAGAAGAGCUAACCAAUGCGAAUAAUCGUAACAUAACUAACCAACCCAUGGAGCACCAGAACAGGAAAGCACCUAGUUACUUACCCACUUAGUAAGUACGGGGUUGAAGCAUACCAAAUAAUCCUGAGUGGGACCAAGAGCAAAGAAGAAGAAACCUCAGCACUGCCACCAGCUCACCAUAAAGGCGCAUGGGAAGGAUGAGAAUUUGCACCGGGGACAGACACUUGCUUGUAUCUGUUAGCUUUACUGUAUUACCAACCAUCUCUUACAAAAAUUGGAUUACCAAUGUUAACACAACCCCAAGAAGGUGUUGUUGCAUUUUGAUGAACCUGUUAAUGCAUUAAACAGAUAGCGCGGUCUAA